UAUUUGGCGGAGAGCAAGAGGAGUAUCUUUCUGAUUUUAUUUAAGAGAAUGGGUGUAAGGUGGAAAUCCCUAAUGAGUUGGAUUGAGAAAGUAGCUUGUGAGCUAACAGAGUGAAUAGUAUCAGUAGCUUUGUUUGAGGUAACGGGUCAUUACCCCCGUUUAUGAAGUGGUUUGAAGAAGUAUUUUCUUCAAUCAAUUUAGGUGGUACCGCGAAUGAGUAAGCAUUCGUCCUAUUG
rnacentral:ncRNA from 1 species